GAUUUCUCCCCGUGGAAUAGGGGCGCGAAGGCUGCCCUGUCACACACGGCCCAAGAGAUUGAUUACCUGGGCUCUGGCAGCCUCUCUGGUGACAGUGACAGGGACUGGGAACCUGGGAGCUUCUCAGCAUCUCCUUUUCACACUCUGCCUCUGAGCAGCUGGGAAUCCUUACCCCUCCAAUCUCCUGACUGCUCAUCUCCCUGGAGCCAGGACCCUGAAUCAGUAUUCACGGCCUGUUAGUGGCUUGCAAGGCAGAGCAGACAGAUGGACGUGCUCGGGAAGCCUAUUGAUCAGCCCUUGGUGUGACCUGCCCAGACCUGGUUCUGUUUCAAGCACUGAUCACGUGGACAAGGAGUCCUUAAUUCCUCUCAGCACCAUUUGAGAUGAGCAACUACACAAGACAAAGACGAAAGGCUUUUUCAGCUCAAAAAUCCUGUGAUUCUUUGAUUCUAAGAAGAGAUUUUCUUACAAGGAGUUUGCCUAAGGUUUGGCCUCCUCUCCAGCCUGUGACUACUGGGAAGACAGGGCACCUGUCCUAUUCACCUUUGUAUCUCUGGUGUCUCACUCAGGAUCCGGCACAGUGCUUGCCAAGGACCUGCUAUGCGCCAGGGGCUGCUGGAGCUGGGAACCUAAUGAUCACAGUGUCAGCCUCUGCCAGCCUUUGUGUGUGUGGCAGGGGUUGUUUUGAGUCCCACCAUCUUCCAUCCCUGAUGCUUGGAGAAGCUGAGGACACACAGGAAUGGAGGCUGGGCACGGUCGCUCACACAUAAUCCCGGCACUUUGGGAGGCAAAGGUGGAUCACUUGAGCUCAGGAGUUCAAGACCAGCCUGAGCAACACAGUGAGAUCUCAUAUCUACAAAACAUCCGGAAAAUUAGCUGGGCGUCGUGACAUGUUCCUGUGGUACUAGCUCCUUGGAAGGCUGAGGUCGGGGUAUUGCUUAAGCCUGGAAGGUGAAGGCUGCUGCAGUGAGCCAUGAUAGCGCCACUGCACUCCAGCCUGGGCAACAGAGCAAGACCCUGUCUCAAAAAAAAAAAAAAAAAAAAA
ensembl:lncRNA LINC00299 long intergenic non-protein coding RNA 299